rnacentral:rRNA from 1 species
GUACAUGCCUAUAGCAUAGCGUUAAUGCAUUGGAUCCCAUUAGAACUUUGUAGUUAACCACGCUUGGGCUAGAGUAGUAUUGGGAUGGGUGAUCGCCCAAAAAGUCCCAAUGUUUUACAUG